rnacentral:rRNA from 1 species
AACGAACGCUGGCGGCAUGCCUAACACAUGCAAGUCGAACGGCACCUCGGGUGCUUGCGCCGGGCGGCGAGGGGCGAACGGGGAAGUAACCCUUAGGAUCGGGUCCUGUCGGGGGGAAUAGCGCGGAGAACGCCGGAUGAAUACCGAAUAAGGUCUACGGACGAAUGGGGGGGCCCUCCGGGCCUUGGGUUAUAGGUGGGGCCGAGGGCUGACUAGCUGGUUGGGGGGGUAAGGGCCUACAAAGGCGACGACCAGUAGCGGGUCGGAGAGGACGACCAGCCACACGGGGACUGAGACAGGGCCCAGACUCCUGCGCUAGGACGCAGUGCGGAAUUGUAGGCAAUGGGGGAGAGCCUGAUCCAGCAAUGCCGCGUGUGUGAAGAAGGCGUUCUGGUUGGAAAGCACUUUUGUCCGUAAAGAAAUCCUUGGCCCUAAUACGGUCGGGUGAUGACGGUACCGGAAGAAUAAGCACCGGCUAACUACGUG